GGUUUCUAUGGUAUAAUGGUGAGCACUCUGGACUUUGAAUCCAGUGAUCCGAGUUCAAGUCUCGGUGGAACUUUGUUUCA